rnacentral:rRNA from 1 species
GAUGAACGCUGGCGGCGUGCCUAAUACAUGCAAGUCGAGCGAAUGGAUUAAGAGCUUGCUCUUAUGAAGUUAGCGGCGGACGGGUGAGUAACACGUGGGUAACCUGCCCAUAAGACUGGGAUAACUCCGGGAAACCGGGGCUAAUACCGGGUAACAUUUUGAACCGCAUGGUUCGAAAUUGAAAGGCGGCUUCGGCUGUCACUUAUGGAUGGACCCGCGUCGCAUUAGCUAGUUGGUGAGGUAACGGCUCACCAAGGCAACGAUGCGUAGCCGCCCUGAGAGGGUGAUCGGCCACACUGGGGCUGGAACACGGCCCAGACUCCUACGGGAGGCAGCAGUAGGGAAUCUUCCGCAAUGGACGAAAGUCUGACGGAGCAACGCCGCGUGAGUGAUGAAGGCUUUCGGGUCGUAAAACUCUGUUGUUAGGGAAGAACAAGUGCUAGUUGAAUAAGCUGGCACCUUGACGGUACCUAACCAGAAAGCCACGGCUAACUACGUGCCAGCCGCCGCGGUAA